CUGUUAUCUGGUUUUGAAGACGAUGAAGCUAAUAUGGAGUUCAUUUUUUACCAUGCUGUUGCACUAUAGAAGGUAUAAAUAAGGACGAGUCAUAUGACAUGUAUUGCCGACUAUUUCACAAAGCGUGGUGCCCUGUUGACACUUUGCAUCUUUGCCAAAGACUACCUCCCAAGGCCCCACUAGAAUUUCUCGAUAAGUAGUAUUGAGGUUUAGGGUUUUGUAUCAAUUUUCUUUUGUCAUGCAAUAAGGAAUCAGAGGUUAUUUUAUUGUACAAGUUCUAGGUUUUGAUUUUCAAGAAUAAUAUUAACCUGCCUCUUCUUUUUUGG
rnacentral:misc_RNA from 1 species